AGGGGUAGGGCUCAGUUGGUAGAGUGCUUGCCUCCCAUGCUUAAGGCCCUGGGUUCAAUCCCCAGCACCACAA
rnacentral:tRNA from 1 species